rnacentral:tRNA from 1 species
UCUUGAGUAGUUUAAUUAAAAUAAUGGCUUGUGGUGCUAUUGAUGCAAUUUAUUGCCUUAGGUA